rnacentral:misc_RNA from 1 species
ACAAACUUGGUCAUUUAGAGGAAGUGCCGUAGGUGAACCUGCGGAAGGAUCAUCACUGAUUCGGGGGCAGCCGGGGUGUGGGAAACCACACGCCUGUGUCCCCAACCAAUCUUGUGUGAACCGUAACGAGCACCACGUGUGAAGAGAGGUUGGCGGUACGGGGGGAGACCCACCGCCGCCACCAUCACACGAGUAUUAUCUCCUUACAAUCUUGUCUAACAUUCUCACUAAAUUACACACACACAACUUUUAACAAUGGAUCUCUUGGCUCUCGCAUCGAUGAAGAACGCAGC